rnacentral:lncRNA from 1 species
UUUUUCUUUUUGAAAGCUCACUAGAUUUCUAGCCUUUUUUUUUUACUUUCAUUUGUGUUCUAUUUUGUUUUUUUGCUUCGUUAAUGUUUUUGGAGCCAUAUAUCCUUGUUAGUGUCUAAAAAUGACUUUCUAGCCAUGGAAAACUAAAAACUAGCCAUUGGAGAGCUUCUGUGUAAAACUAUAACGUCUUGAAAAACUAAUUGUUGGAACUGUCAGUUGUAGUAGAGUCGAUUCGAACC